GACGAACGCUGGCGGCGUGCUUAACACAUGCAAGUCGAACGGAAAGGCCCCUUUGGGGGUACUCGAGUGGCGAACGGGUGAGUAACACGUGAGUAACCUGCCCUUGACUUCGGGAUAACUUCAGGAAACUGGGGCUAAUACCGGAUAGGAAUCCUUGCUGCAUGGUGGGGGUUGGAAAGCUUCGGCGGUUUUGGAUGGACUCGCGGCUUAUCAGCUUGUUGGUGGGGUAGUGGCUUACCAAGGCUUUGACGGGUAGCCGGCCUGAGAGGGCGACCGGCCACAUUGGGACUGAGAUACGGCCCAGACUCCUGCGGGAGGCAGCAGUGGGGAAUAUUGCACAAUGGGCGGAAGCCUGAUGCAGCAACGCCGCGUGCGGGAUGACGGCCUUCGGGUUGUAAACCGCUUUCAGCAGGGGCGAAGCUUGUGGUGACGGUACCUGCAGAAGAAGCACCGGCUAACUACGUG
rnacentral:rRNA from 1 species